CUACGGGCGGCAGCAGUGAGGAAUAUUGCACAAUGGGGGAAACCCUGAUGCAGCAACGCCGCGUGGAGGAUGACGCAUUUCGGUGUGUAAACUCCUUUUAUCAGAGAAGAAAAUGACGGUAUCUGAUGAAUAAGCUCCGGCUAACUCCGUGCCAGCAGCCGCGGUAAUACGGAGGGAGCAAGCGUUAUUCGGAAUCACUGGGCGUAAAGGACGCGUAGGCGGGUUUUUAAGUCAGGUGUGAAAUCCUAUGGCUCAACCAUAGAACUGCACUUGAAACUGGGGACCUAGAGUAUGGAAGGGGCAGGUGGAAUUAGUGGUGUAGGGGUAAUAUCCGUAGAUAUCACUAGGAAUACCGAAAGCGAAGGCGACCUGCUGGGACAUUACUGACGCUGAGGCGUGAAAGCGUGGGGAGCAAACAGGAUUAGAUACCCUCGUAGUC
rnacentral:rRNA from 1 species